UGCAUGUCUAAGUGCAAGCCAAAUUAAGGUGAAACCGCGAAUGGCUCAUUAAAUCAGUUGUGGUUCCUUUGAUGGUGUAACGCCUACUUGGAUAACUGUGGCAAUUCUAGAGCUAAUACAUGCAAUGGAGUCCGGACCGGAGACGGGAAGGAUGCACUUAUUAGAUCAAAACCAAUCGGGCGCUUGCGUCCGUUGGGCUUGGUGACUCUGAAUAACUCAAGCCGAUCGCACGGUCUAGCACCGGCGACGCAUCAUUCAAAUGUCUGCCUUAUCAACUUUCGAUGGUAGGUUCUGCGCCUACCAUGGUUGUAACGGGUAACGGGGAAUCAGGGUUCGAUUCCGGAGAGGGAGCCUGAGAAACGGCUACCACAUCCAAGGAAGGCAGCAGGCGCGCAAAUUACCCACUCCCGGCACGGGGAGGUAGUGACGAAAAAUAACGAUACGGGACUCAUCCGAGGCCCCGUAAUCGGAAUGAGUACACUUUAAAACCUUUAACGAGUACCAAUUGAAGGGCAAGUCUGGUGCCAGCAGCCGCGGUAACUCCAGCUUCAAUAGCGUAUAUUAAAGUUGUUGCGGUUAAAAAGCUCGUAGUCGGAACUGUGUCACGCUCUGCCGGUUCACAGCUCGUCUGUGUCCAACUGGCAUGCAGCGCUGACGUCCUGCCGGUGGCUCGACCCGGCCCGGCAAGGUGCGGAGCGGUAAUCCCUCGCCUAAGGGGUCCGUUUUCCCGCCGUCGGGUCCCGGGGAGGGCCUACACAUACCCGUCGCGGGUGCUCUUGACCGAGUGUCUGGAUGGGCCGGCACGUUUACUUUGAACAAAUUAGAGUGCUCAAAGCAGGCAGCUACCGCCUGAAUAUAGUCUGCAUGGAAUAAUGGAAUAGGACCUUGGUUCUAUUUUGUUGGUUUUCGGAAUCCCGAGGUAAUGAUCAAUAGGGACGGACGGGGGCAUUCGUAUUGCGACGUUAGAGGUGAAAUUCUUGGAUCGUCGCAAGACGGACAGAAGCGAAAGCGUUUGCCAAGAAUGUUUUCUUUGAUCAAGAACGAAAGUUGAAGGCUCGAAGGCGAUUAGAUACCGCCCUAGUUUCAACCAUAAACGAUGCCAGCUAGCAAUCCGCCGAAGUUCCUCCGAUGACUCGGCGGGCGGCCUACGGGAAACCAAAGCUUUUGGGUUCCGGGGGAAGUAUGGUUGCAAAGCUGAAACUUAAAGGAAUUGACGGAAGGGCACCACCAGCGGUGGAGCAUGCGGCUCAAUUUGACUCAACACGCGGAAACUUACCAGACCCGGACACUCGAAGGAUUGACAGAUUGAGAGCUCUUUCUUGAUUGAGUGGGUGGUGGUGCAUGGCCGUUCUUCGUUGGUGAAGUGAUUUGUCUGGUUAAUUCCGAUAACGAACGAGACUCUAGCCUGCUAACUAGUCGGACUUUGUCCAACGAGCCAAGGCCGAGAUUGAAGCUUCUUAGAGGGACGGGCGACGUCUAGUCGCACGAAACAGAGCAAUAACAGGUCAGUGAUGCCCUUAGAUGUCCUGGGCAGCACGCGCGCUACACUGAAGGAAUCAGCGUGUUUUCCCUGUCCGAGAGGAUCGGGUAACCGCUUGAAACUCCUUCGUGCUAGGGAUUGGGGCUUGCAAUUAUUCCCCAUGAACGAGGAAUCCCAAGUAAGUGCGAGUCAUUAGCUCGCGCUGAUUACGUCCCUGCCCUUUGUACACACCGCCCGUCGCUACUACCGAUUGAAUGAUUUAGUGAGGACUUCGGACAGCUGGACGAGGCUUCACGGUUUCGUUUUCAGCCGAAAGAUGUCCGAACUUGAUCAUUUAGAGGAAGUAAAAGUCGUAACAAGGUUCCCGU
rnacentral:rRNA from 1 species